rnacentral:rRNA from 1 species
GUGUCAGCCGCCGCGGUAAUACGUAGGGGGCUAGCGUUAUCCGGAAUUACUGGGCGUAAAGGGUGCGUAGGUGGUUUCUUAAGUCAGAGGUGAAAGGCUACGGCUCAACCGUAGUAAGCCUUUGAAACUGGGAAACUUGAGUGCAGGAGAGGAGAGUGGAAUUCCUAGUGUAGCGGUGAAAUGCGUAGAUAUUAGGAGGAACACCAGUUGCGAAGGCGGCUCUCUGGACUGUAACUGACACUGAGGCACGAAAGCGUGGGGAGCAAACAGGAUUAGAUACCCCGGUAGUCC